rnacentral:rRNA from 1 species
UACGGGGGGGGCAAGCGUUGUUCGGAAUUACUGGGCGUAAAGGGCUCGUAGGUGGCCAACUAAGUCAGACGUGAAAUCCCUCGGCUUAACCGGGGAACUGCGUCUGAUACUGGAUGGCUCUGAGUUUGGGAGAGGGAUGCGGAAUUCCAGGUGUAGCGGUGAAAUGCGUAGAUAUCUGGAGGAACACCGGUGGCGAAGGCGGCAUCCUGGACCAACACUGACACUGAGGAGCGAAAGCCAGGGGAGCAAACGGG